rnacentral:sRNA from 1 species
GAUCAUGAAUGGGUGAUGAGCA